rnacentral:miRNA from 1 species
AUGAUUUUUGGAACCUGGCGGAG